GCCGGCAGCUAGCUUUCUGCAGCUCUCACAUGGUCACUCACUGAAGCUGCGCCCGGUCAGUACCUAGAUGGGAGACCACAUGGGAAAGUUAGGUUGCUGCCGGAA
rnacentral:rRNA from 1 species